rnacentral:misc_RNA from 1 species
GAUGAAGAACGCAGCGAAAUGCGAUAAGUAGUGUGAAUUGCAGAAUUCAGUGAAUCAUCGAAUCUUUGAACGCACAUUGCGCCCUUUGGUAUUCCUUAGGGCAUGCCUGUUCGAGCGUCAUUUAAACCUUCAAGCUAAGCUUGGUGUUGGGUGACUGUCCGCUUCACGGCGGACUCGCCUCAAAAUUAUUGGCGGCCGGUACAUUGGCUUCGAGCGCAGCAGAAACGCGAACUCGGGCCCGUCGUAUUGGCUCCCAGAAGCUAUCUUCACAAUUUUGACCUCGGAUCAGGUAGGGAUACCCGCUGAACUUAAGCAUAUCAUAACGGAGGA